GAUGAAGAACGUAGCGAAAUGCGAUACGUAAUGUGAAUUGCAGAAUUCAGUGAAUCAUCGAGUCUUUGAACGCACAUUGCGCCCCCUGGUAUUCCGGGGGGCAUGCCUGUCCGAGCGUCAUGCUGCCCUCAAGCACGGCUUGUGUGUUGGGCCUCCGUCCUCCUCCCGGGGGACGGGCCCGAAAGGCAGCGGCGGCACCGCGUCCGGUCCUCGAGCGUAUGGGGCUUCGUCACCCGCUCUUGUAGGCCCGGCCGGCGCUUGCCGACACAUCAAUCUUUUUUCCAGGUUGACCUCGGAUCAGGUAGGGAUACCCGCUGAACUUAAGCAUAUCAAUAAGCGGAGGA
rnacentral:misc_RNA from 1 species